rnacentral:rRNA from 1 species
UACGUAGGGUGCGAGCGUUGUCCGGAAUUAUUGGGCGUAAAGGGCUCGUAGGCGGUCUGUCGCGUCGGGGGUGAAAACUCAGGGCUUAACCCUGAGCCUGCUUCCGAUACGGGCAGACUAGAGGUAUGCAGGGGAGAACGGAAUUCCUGGUGUAGCGGUGAAAUGCGCAGAUAUCAGGAGGAACACCGGUGGCGAAGGCGGUUCUCUGGGCAUUACCUGACGCUGAGGAGCGAAAGUGUGGGGAGCGAACAGG